rnacentral:rRNA from 1 species
GACGGGAGGAGACAACAGGGCUUGCCCUAGUAACUGCGAGUGAAGCGGCAAAAGCUCAGAUUUGAAACCUGCUGCCUUCGGUAGCCGGAUUGUAAUCUGGAGAGACAUCUUCUGGUGGACAGCCGGUCUAAGUUCCUUGGAACAGGACGUCAGAGAGGGUGAGAAUCCCGUAUUCUGGUCGGCCCGUGCACCUUGUGAAGUGUCUUCGACGAGUCGAGUUGUUUGGGAAUGCAGCUCAAAAUGGGUGGUAAAUUUCAUCUAAAGCUAAAUAUUGGCGAGAGACCGAUAGCGCACAAGUAGAGUGAUCGAAAGAUGAAAAGCACUUUGAAAAGAGAGUCAAAAAGUACGUGAAAUUGUUGAAAGGGAAGCGCUUGAGACCAGACUCGGGCGUAGGUGAUCAGCGUUGCUUCUGCUUCGUGCACUUGCCUAUGCCUGGGCCAGCAUCGGUUGUGGCGGUGAGAUAAAGGUCUGAGGAAUGUGGCUCCCCCUCGGGGGAGUGUUAUAGCCUCGGGCGUAAUGCCACCUGCUGCGACCGAGGACCGCGCUUCGGCUAGGAUGCUGGCGUAAUGGUCUUCAGCGACCCGUCUUGAAACACGGACCAAGGAGUCUAACAUCUAUGCGAGUGUUCGGGUGUAAAACCCCUGCGCGUAAUGAAAGUGAACGGAGGUGGGAACCCCUCACGGGGCGCACCAUCGACCGAUCCUGAUGUCUUCGGAUGGAUUUGAGUAAGAGCAUAGCUGUUGGGACCCGAAAGAUGGUGAACUAUGCCUGAAUAGGGUGAAGCCAGAGGAAACUCUGGUGGAGGCUCGCAGCGGUUCUGACGUGCAAAUCGAUCGUCAAAUUUGGGUAUAGGGGCGAAAGACUAAUCGAACCAUCUAGUAGCUGGUUCCUGCCGA